GAUGAACGCUAGCGGCAGGCUUAACACAUGCAAGUCGAGGGGCAGCAUGACACGGAGAUUCGUCGAAGUGUUGAUGGCGACCGGCGCAAGGGUGCGUAACGCGUGAGCAACUUGCCCGUUUCUGGGGAAUAACCGUUGGAAACGACGACUAAUACCCCAUAGUAUCAUGAUGAGGCAUCUUAUUGUGAUUAAAGAAAUUCGGAAACGGAUAGGCUCGCGUGACAUUAGCUAGAUGGCGGGGUAACGGCCCACCAUGGCGACGAUGUCUAGGGGUUCUGAGAGGAAGGUCCCCCACACUGGAACUGAGACACGGUCCAGACUCCUACGGGAGGCAGCAGUGAGGAAUAUUGGUCAAUGGUCUGACGACUGAACCAGCCAUGCCGCGUGAAGGUCACGGCCCUAUGGGUCUUAAACUUCUUUUGUAAGGGAGCAAUAAGUCUCACGUGUGGGAUGAUGAGAGUACCUUACGAAUAAGCAUCGGCUAACUCCGUGCCAGCCGCCGCUGUAAAAC
rnacentral:rRNA from 1 species